rnacentral:rRNA from 1 species
AUUAAUCUACCUGAGAUAACAUCCUAUUGGAAAUAGAUAAGUUAUCUAAGUUCGAGAGAAUUAGAUAAUAAAUUGUCUGGUGAGGUCGAGAGAUAAGUCAAAUAGUAGAGUCGUUAGGGAUAUUCUGUAGUUCCUACUUACUCCAAGAAUCUCAAGCAUUACCUAGUAUCAGCCAAUUCCCGAAACCCAUGGUGAACAUAGCUCUGGUUUUCCAUUUAGAUUGAUUAUAAACACUAAAAUACUGAAAGUGAAAAUUCACUCAUUGUUAAACUUAACCCCCCAUUUUCGGAAACAUUAAACUACCAGUAAAGUAUUUCGUAAACAAAUUGAAUUUUACACCCUAUUCUCUAUAUGAUUCGACCCCAACCUAGUUGGGUUUUAUAUUGACAACAAUCGCUUACACCCAUUCAAGAGUGUAGUUUGAGCGUUAUCAAUGGGAUCUUCCUAAGGGGUGCACCGCCAACCGACCUUGAUAAUUUGAGAAGGCUUUGAGUGUAAGCGUACCUGUCGGGACUUCAAAGAUGGUGAACUAUGCCUACGCAAGGCAAAGCUAGAGGAAACUCUUGUGGAGGCCUGAAGCGAUAUGAACAUGCAAAUCAUUCAUCUGACUUGGGUAUAGGGGCGAAAGACUAAUCAAAUCAUCUAUUAUUUGGUUCCCUCUGAAGUUUCCCUCAGGAUGGAUGGAGCUCACGUGCGAGUUCUAUUGGGUAAAGCCAAUAAUUAGAGACCUCAGGGGUGCAACGACCUCAACCUAUUCUCAAACUUUAAAUAGGUAAGACGACGUGACUGCUUUGUUGAGUCGCACUACAAAAUCAAGAGCUUCAAGUGGGUCAUUUUUGUUAAGGAAAACUGGUGAUGCAGGAUGAACCGAAAGCUGAGCUACGGUGCCAAAAUGUACACUAACCUAGAUCCCACAAAUGGUGUUGGUCGAUUAAGAUAGUAGGAAGGUGUUCAUGGAAGUUGAAAUCCGCUAAGGAGUGUGGAACAACUCACCUGCCGAAUGAACUAGCUCGAAAUAGAUAACGUUCAAGCACGCAACCUACACCCCUCCGUCGGGGCAAGUUCCAGGCCUCGAUGAGUAGGAGGGCGCGGCGGUCACUGCAAAAACCAUGGGCGUGAGAUCGAGCUGAGCGGCCAUCGGUGCAGAUCUUAGUGGUAGUAGCAAAUAUUAAAAUUAGAACUUUGUAGGCCAAAGAGGGGAAAGGUUCCAUGUGAAUGGCACUUGCACAUGGGUUAGUCGAUCCUUAGGGUCAGGGGAACCCUAACAGAUAGUGCAUUUUGCGCAUACUCCAAAAGAAAAUUGUGUUUAAAUUUCUCAAAACUAGAGGUAGUGGUCGACAAAAAAUUAGAAUGUUCAGAGACGUCGGUGCGAGCCUCGGGAAAAGUUAUCCUUUCUAUUUAACAACCUGCCAAUCCUAGAAUCGGCUUAGUUGGAGUUAGGUUCAAGCUGCUGGAAGAGCACCGCACAUCGUGUGGUGUUCAGUGUGCUAUCAGCGGCCCUUGAAAAUAUGCAAGACCAAAUUCAGUCCACGCCCGAUCAUACUCAUAACUGUAUCAGGUCCCCAAGGUGAACAGCCUUUGGCUGAUGAAAUAAUGUAGGCAAAGGAAGUCAGCAAAAUGGAUCUGUAUCUUCGGGAAAAGGAUUAGAUCUGAGGGCUGGGCACAGGGGUCCCAAUCUUAAACCAUCAGAUAUCGGUGGAUUCCUUGAGCUGAUCCCAUGAUGAGAGCGGGUUUUCGUGGUUUUGCCAGGGGAUAGACUAGGAACGGUUCCUUCGGGGGCCUUCCCUGCUCAUCGAACAACCAAAUCAGAAUUGUUACAAACCAGGGAAAUCUGAUUGUUUAAUUAAAACAAGUAUUGUGAUGGUCCCAACAAAUGUUCUUCCAAUGUGAUUUCUGCCUAGUGCUCUGAAUUUCAAAGUAAAGAAAUUCAACCAAGAUCCAGUAAAUGGCGGGAGUAACUAUGACUCUAUUACGGUAGCCAAAUGCCUCAUGAUCUAAUUAGUGAUGCACAUGAAUAAAUUAACGAGAUUCCUAUUAUCCUUGUCUACUAUCCAACAAAACAACAACUAAGGGAACGAGCCUAGCAGAAUUAGCAGGGAAAGAAGACCCUAUUAAGCUUGACUCUAGUCCGACUUUAUAAAAUGACUUGAGAGGUAUAGUAUAAGUGGGAGACUAAAGGAGAAAGUGAAAUAGCACUACUUUUAAUGUUAUUUUACUUAUUUUGUGAAUCAAAAACGGGGCACUCCUCUUCUUUUUUGACCCAAGGCUCACUGUGUGGGCUUAUCCUGGCAGAAGACAUUAUUAGUUGGGGCGGCAUAUCUAUUAAAAGAUAAUGUAGGUGUCCUAUGAUAAGCUCAACAAGAAUAGAAAUAUCAUGUGGAACAGAAGGGUACAAGAUCGUUUGAUUAUGCUUUCCAAUACUAAUACGAACCAUGAAAGCGUGGCCUAAUGAUCCUUUAGAACUUCGAAAUUCGAAGCUAGAGGUGUCAGAAAAGUUACCACAGGGAUAACUGGCUUGUGGUAGCAAAGUGGUCAUAACGAAAUUGUUUUUUGAACUUUCGAUGUUGUGUCUUCCUAUCAUUGUGAAGUGAAAUUCACCAAGUAUUGGAUUGUUCAGCCAUUAAUAGGGAACGUGAGCUGGGUUUAAACCGCAGAGAGAGAGGUUAGUUUUACCCUAUUGAUGACAGUAUCUCAAUAGUAAUUCAACCUACUAUGAGAGGAACAGUUGACUCACAUAAUUGGCUAUCGCGCUUUAUUAAAAAGCCAGUGGCGCAAAACUACAGUUUUCUAGAUUAUGACUGAAUGCCUCUAAGUCAAAAUUUAGGAUAGAAUUGUUGCAUACGCCCGUAGUCCACUUAAUUAUUGCAUACGGCCACAGUCCACUUACCGACCCACAGUAGGUGCCUCGGCCUCUAAGGGCACGUAUCGUUGGCUAAGCCAUCACGGCAGGAGGGUCGUAGUGGCAGCCUUGAAGUACAAUUUCUAUGGAGCAUGGGUAGAAUCCUUUACAGAUGACUUAAAUACAUGAUGGGGUAUUAUAAGUGGCAGAUUGGCCUUGCUGCCACGAUCCACUGAGAUUCAACCCU